rnacentral:rRNA from 1 species
GACGAACGCUGGCGGCGUGCUUAACACAUGCAAGUCGAACGGAAAGGCCCUGCUUUUGUGGGGUGCUCGAGUGGCGAACGGGUGAGUAACACGUGAGUAACCUGCCCUUGACUUUGGGAUAACUUCAGGAAACUGGGGCUAAUACCGGAUAGGAGCUCCUGCUGCAUGGUGGGGGUUGGAAAGUUUCGGCGGUUGGGGAUGGACUCGCGGCUUAUCAGCUUGUUGGUGGGGUAGUGGCUUACCAAGGCUUUGACGGGUAGCCGGCCUGAGAGGGUGACCGGCCACAUUGGGACUAAGAUAAGGCCCAGACUCCUACGGGAGGCAGCAGUGUGGAAUAUUGCAAAAUGGGCGGAAGCCUGAUGCAGCAACGCCGCGUGCGGGAUGACGGCCUUCGGGUUGUAAACCGCUUUCGCCUGUGACGAAGCGUGAGUGACGGUAAUGGGUAAAGAAGCACCGGCUAACUACGUG